rnacentral:lncRNA from 1 species
UUCUUAUCGGAUUGCUCAUUUUCUUAGCACUAAGUCUUUAUUUUGUAGAUGCAAUUACCUCUGAAAUCUUUCUGAAGAUACUACUGAGAAUAAAAUGGAGCAUUUCUUAUGAACAGCUAAUCUCUGAAAAUAUCACUAAUAUGGAGCAGGUGACGUCUUACCCAUUCCACAUAAACAAUCUUCUAAUACUCACAUGAAAAGACAGAUGGAUUUUCAAGAUGUACUAUUAAGUGAAUGGUGAGUUGCAGAAUGAUUUGUAACAUGAUCCUAUUUCCAAGAGGAAAAAAGUAUAUAUGUGUUUGUAUAUUUGCUUAUAUAUAGAAGAAGUUUGGAAAGAUAACUUACCAAACUGCUCAAACAGUGUUACCUCUGGAGAAUGAGAUUUGGGAAGAUAAGAAGGAAUUUUCACUUCUUAGAUUUUAUUUUUAUAUUAUUUAAAUAGUUUAACAUUAAACAUGUAUUACUUUCAUGAUCUUUUUAAACUUAGGGAAAAAAGAUGAAACAUUUCAUGGUUCCACUCAUCAGGACUUUUUAUUCUUUCUCUUCAAUUUAAUUCGAACAUUUCAGAUUGCUUUUUAUGGAGAGCAAGAGAACUCUGGCUGGGGUAUGUUGAGCAAGGGGUGCUUGUGCGAUGUCCAGAAGGUUAUCAGAGAUAAGGCCUGAGCUCAGGAGAGAAGUGUGGGUGACAGUUAUAUGUUGGGGAGUCAUCAGAUUCUACACAAUAAUUAAGAUAAAAAGUACUGUUGCAGUUAUAUACUACUAAGCAAAUAAAACCGUGGCUUUCAAACUUUUAAUAUCCAAGUCUUACUUCUGAUUAGGUUGAGCAUUCCUAAUUGGAAAAAUCCGAAAUCCAAGAUGCUCCAAACUCUGAAACUUUUUGAAUUCUAACAUGAUGCCACAAGUGAAAAACUCCACACCUAAUACUUGUUUUCUAAUGAUUCAAGGUACACAAAUUUUAUUUAAUGCACAAAAUUAUUAAAAAUACUGUAUACUACACUGUUUUUGUUUAACUUGUGGACAAAGACUUAUGGUUAGGUGCAAAAAAUAAAUCCUCUUUUGCAACCCAGAACUCAUUGUUCAGUAUGAGUUUUGAUACAUAUAAGAAGGGAUAUUAUGAUACCUGAGACAGUUAACUGAUGGGAGUAUUGAUAGACAUAAAGGUUGGUUCCAGGCCAGGCACAGUGGCUCAAGCCUGCAAUCCCCACACC